rnacentral:rRNA from 1 species
UAGUCCUAGCUGUAAACGAUGAGCACUGGGUAGGGGGACUUCCUAUGUUUCCCCUGCCGAAGCAAAUGUAUUAAGUGCUCCGCCUGGGGAGUAUGGUCGCAAGGCUAAAACUCAAAGGAAUUGACGGGGGCUCACACAAGCGGUGGAGGAUGUGGUUUAAUUCGAAGCAACGCGCAGAACCUUACCCGGGUUUGAAAUGCACGGAUUAGCUCUGUGAAAGCAGAGUGACGCCUUUGGUGGAACGUGCGCAGGUGUUGCAUGGCUGUCGUCAGCUCGUGUCGUGAGAUGUCGGGUUAAGUCCCUUAACGAGCGAAACCCUUGUCUUCAGUUGCCAGCGAGUAAUGUCGGGGACUCUGGAGAGACUGCCGUUGUCAAAACGGAGGAAGGUGGGGACGACGUCAAGUCAUCAUGGCCCUUACGGGUAGGGCUACACACGUGCUACAAUGGCGCUGACAGAGGGUUAAUCCCUAAAAGGCGUCUCAGUUCGGAUUGUCCUCUGCAACUCGAGGGCA